rnacentral:lncRNA from 1 species
AUGGACUGGGAAAAGUUUUAGAAACUCAAAGAUCAAGAACUCAUCUCUCAAAUAUAUUAGAUCUUCAUGCCUAUGACACUCUCUCUGGUAUAAGGUAUGUUUUCAGGAUUUUGGUCAUUUUGGUGUAAUAUUUUUUUUUCCAUUUUUCAUUAUUUAAGAUGCCAUUCCUUUGGCAUACAAAUUUUGUUCUUUAUUUUCCGAAGCAUGGCCUUACAUUGCAGCCCAGGCUGAUCUUUAAACUUGUUAUCCUCUACCACAGCUUCCGAGUGCUGAGAUAGGCACAUGCUACCACACCUGGCUCACAGGGUUACUUCUAAUUAUGAUCUUAAAAGAUGUGGUAACUGGUUGUUUGGAAAUGCAUUUUCCUAUAGAAAUUGUAAUGUAAAUGGUAAUUAAGCCUAGAAACUGAUCAGUAUCUCUGUGCCAACCAUUAUAACACUCUCUAAAUAAAAUAAAAUAAAAUUUACUGACUAUAUAAAAAACCUAACUGGCUUCUCUUACAAACAAGUCCCUUUCCUUUAAUAAUAGCUUUCUGUCUCAUUUUGGAGGUAUCUU